rnacentral:lncRNA from 1 species
ACUAGCAGGAUCUCUGGCGUUGGGAAGAGUCCCUGUUACCCCUUUUUUCCCUUUUUACCGAAUAAAACCCUGCCUUACUCACCCUUCAGGUCAUCUACAAUCCUAACUUUUCAUGGCUCUGAGACAAAGACUCCGUCUUUUGGUGAACUAAGGAAAUGUCCUGCAACAUUUUUGGCACACAGCAUAGGACUUGAGAAGUGGUGAGUGAAAUGGGAACUCAAAACCUCUCACUGUCGCUUCUAAGCUUUUUCAUACUAGUAUUUCUGAAGGUAGGGGAAACCAUGCCCCCAUCUCAGUCACUCCCAGGGGUCAGAGAAGUCGGCCUGAGUCUCCAUGGCCUUUCCUUCCUUUUUUGGAACAGACCAGCAAGCAUUGGCUCCCCUCCACCACUCCCCACCGCCACCCCCCCGCCCCCACCCAUCCCUGCCAGAGCUGGGACACAUGGCUGAGGCACCGUGGGUGGUUGCUUGGCGGGAGUCUCCCCGUCCUGGGGCCAGCUCCAUCCCACAGCAAUUAAACUUGUCUCCCUGGUGGAGGAACAACUUGCAUUAGAGUAAGAGGUUCCUCCCCGGGUAUUUUAAAACCGUUUCUUUUCUUUCCUCUUCUCCACCCCAUCAGCAGUUAACUUUUAUAGGUUUUUUUUUUCCCCCUUUUAGAAGACUUUACUAGGCCAGGCCCCCCAACUAUCACUUUAUAUUCUCUGUAAAGUGUUGGUCAUGAAAAAGAAUCUUGUGGGACCUGGGCUUUCUCCUUCCUGUGUCUGUGAUGUGUGUGAAGUCUGUAAAAAGAGCUCUAAUUAAUUUGGCCUACGAAAGACAAGUGCUUGGAUCAAAUAUUUUUUUAAAGGGAAGAUAAAAGCUGUGGUACCUUUUAUUUCAUGUGACUUUAAUCUUUGAGAAAUCAAAACAGCCUUAAAGAUUAUUGGUAAAAUGCAGGUGUCAUUAAAAUGUAAACAGGUGAACUAAACUAUGCAGGACAGAUGCAAGGUUUGCUAAAUAUUUUACGGUUAUAAACUACUUUCUGGGUUUUGAGAACUAUUUGACUUGCUGCCUUUACAAUUGGUAAUGCUUAGGGACAUAAGGAAUUAACCACACCUUUAAUUAUGAACCUAGCACACAAUUAAAACAACCUACCAGGUCAUACAUUAAAGUUAAAAAUUGCCAGGAGUUACCAUUAUAACAUGUAAUUGAGACUACUGGAAACAGAUUUACAUGCAAGAUGUGUAAGAAGAGCACAAUGUGGUUUUUUUUGUGAAAAGUUAUAAAAAGACAUGGAAAUGUAAAUUUUUGCCUAGAGUUAAAGGAUUGUUUUGAAUUAGAUAGGAUAAAGCUGAAGGUUCCAACAAGUGGUGGAAGGAUUGUGGAAAUAAAUCUUGCAGAAGAGGUUCUCUGUGUGAACAUACUGACUAAAUUCAAAAACGGUACUAUAUGGUUUUUCUGUAAAUUGAUCAUUAAAAUGAAAGCACAACAAGGUUUUCUUAAGGCACUAUUCUUUGGCAAAAUUUACAAAGGGUUAUAAAAGAUUUUUGUUUCUUUAAAAUUUCCGAGUCAUCAUUUUGGCAAAAUAAGUAACUUAUGGUAAUUUAGAAUUCUGUUUUAUAAUAUCAAGUGUUUUAAACCUCAAACGUAUUUUACAGUCUUCCCAAAAUCAAACUUCGGUUUUGAAAUUGUCUUUCCUGACACCUGGCUUUUUGGAUACUUAGAGGGCCCCUGAAACAUCCAGAAAAGAGAGGCAAGCAAGAUUAUUUGACAUAUUUAGGUACAUGGGAUUGCCAAAAUGAUGUUCAAUCUUCUUUAUGUUAUGUUUUAUGAAUAAUGCUAAUGUAUGUUCCAAAAUUGUGUGGGAUUUCUAAAGUUCUAAUGUCUAAGUAUAUGCUAUACUUAGCAUAUUUAAGGUUGUUAAGUUAUUGUAAGCUAUGGAGAUAACCAAACUUCUUUGUCAAUUGUGUUUCUAACUGUAACUUCCCUGGAUUUUUUGUUAUUCACAGACAAUUGUCCUGUUUUAAUCCUUUUCAAAAGAUAGUUUAUAAUAAGCUAUAGAGCUUUAGCAGGUGCUCUCAAAUACAGGCUUCUGAUAACUUUGGAGAUUAUAACAUUAGAAUAAAGGAAAAUGUACAAGAACUAAAUGGACUGAACUCAGGAAACUGAAGCAAUGUUUUUGAUUUUUGCUUAGAAUAUUGCUGAUCCUUGUUUUGCUUUUCAGAGUCAAGGAAACUUAUUUUGAACUAUUUAUAGCCUUUACUAAUUGAGUAAGGUAUAUUUUUGUGAUCAAGAUUUGGAAUAUGUUUGUUUCUCUCUGCCUGGUUCCUCUAGAAUUGGGAAACUAUCUGUGAGUAUUUUUAACUUACGGCAACAUGGUUGUUUGCAUCAGUGCAAUAAGAAUACAUUUUCUUUCGCAAGAGGACACAAUUGGAAAAACUGGUAGCUUUACCAAGGCUUUGACUGGAAGUGUAUGCUUCCCUUUAAAGAGUCAAUCUUGACUUGCAGAGCUGAUAGAAGUCCAGUGGGGAACCUGGCCUCAUACCCUUGCCUACAUAGUCCCUGUGCAGUGUUCCUGACCUGUGGUCAGUAAAGAAUGUCAUUCUGUAACAUUGAGUGGAGCCUAUGAGCUCCACGUUUAUCUUGGGACCUUAAGAGGAGAGAAUCACCCAAGACACAGGUAUUUGAGGAUACAAACCCAUGCCUGGGCUUGGAUUUAAAAGGUCUUAUCUGAGAUUCCUUGAGGAAACAGAGUUCCAUCAAAGGCAAUCCAAAAGGCCUAUGUAGAAAUAGUUGUUCUUGCUGCACUUUAUGCAAAUAAUCAUGCCAAGUAUAAAACUAAAGUCUAUUUUGCAAACAACUUAGUCCUAUGAUUAUUUGUUUUUUAACAAAAAUGAAGACUGGAGAGAGAGAAAUUAUAUUUCAAAACUUACACAUUGGUCAUUAUGUUCUAAACUCAUUAGUUAUUUUUAAGUUUUUGCUUACACUUUUAAACUAACCCUACUUAUUCCUAUGAACUAACCAGCAAUCUCUGCCUGCAGCUUAAAAGGAACAAGAGAGAUGGGUAAUGUAAAAAUCUGGAUCAAUAUUCUAAUUCUGAGCAAUUAUCCUGCAAAUCCUGCCAGGUGAUAGAAAUAAGAAAGAUGUCCAUCACUCAGAGGUUUUCUUUUUGGGAAGGUAAGACCAAGGGUGCUAACCAAAGCCAAGCACCAUGCACCCAAAUCCUAGCAAGCAUAACUAUAGCCACCAGUUAUCUGGGUGUGUCAUAAGACAUCCUUCUCUCUUGCUUGUUGGAGGGAGACUCAGUUCCAUAGUUUCACCUUAGCAUUCAGAUUAUGAUAAGGAGUCCAUGCAACAUCCCACAGACACAUUUGUCCCAAACUCAAUUCUAAGCUUUGGGUCAAAGCCCUAGGAAAGAAAACUAGAUAUAAGAGAUCCAGAGGCAGACAAUAAUGGAAGUUAAAAGGCACAGCAUAGGUGAAUGUGGCUGAUUCCUGCAGAUUAAGCCAAGCCCAAGCUUCCUGUUUCAUAGAUAAAGGCCACAUUAGUAUCCAUGGCAUAAAUGAGAUCUAGGUAAUCCAAGGUUACUGAUAGUAGGAGGGAAAAAUACAUAGGUGAGAGCAGACAAUUCCUAUUCUUUAGGCCCUCCCUGAUUCAUGGGUGCAAGCUGCUUUGCAACCCGUGGCGGCACCUGCCAAGGUCACCAGGAUUUGGAGAUGCAAGAAUGGAGGAGGGAAAGAGGAUGCUCUUCCCUCUCUCCCUCAUGUACCCCGGGUAUCUGCUAGGAAGAGAAGGGAACCAGGGAUACCCGCUCCUCUCUUUCUAGAUGGGUUGUCAUUCAUCUUCAGUCUGUAUCUCUCUCAAAUGCAUCCUGAGCCCCUGGGAUUCCUUUGAAAAAUGCCUUCUUUUUUCCUUUCUCCUCCUCUGUCCUCUCUUCACAGAUAGGUAAUUGUGUCUCUGUACUAUGGAACACUCUCCUCAGAUACAUCCUCUAAACUGGAAAGAGUUAAUUUCCCAAACCUUAAACUGAUUGGCUUAAGAUUGGUCCCAGGGGAAGGGAACCCAGAAGCCUAACAUGCUGGCAAGAGGAUAAAGUUUUUUUUUUUUUUUUUAACCAGUGGGGCUUUUGGCUUCCCGCUAUCUCUGCAAACUAGUAAAAGAACUCAGGAUGUUUGAGCUGUCCUUACCCUUCCCCUUGUUUCAUUUUCAUAGAUGUUUUCUAAUAACCCGGUUUGUCGUUUUUUGACUUCAGGCCAUCAAACUCAGGUCAUGCAACCAGAGCCUCUGACUACAGCCCCUUCUGUCAGGCAUCCUUAGAUAAGCCUCUGAGGGAGCUCUGACUGCAGUUCCCCAAAACAGUCAGUAGGAUGCAGUUAAGACCCGUCUUCAUCCUUAUCCUUUUCCUUAUUCUAAGGGCAGUUAGAUGCACUUCUUUAGAGGGGGCAAUGAGACAGACAGGUGGCCAGGGGUCCUCAGAAAAACUCCACCUGACUUGCACACCUGGUGGAGACACAGAAGUUCACGCCAUUGUAGCGGGGAGGAGAUUGGCCCCUUCUCUUCCUGUGGAAACUGGGAUUCAAGCUGCAAGAUGGGAAGUGCACCAGCAGGGACUCUGGCCUUCUGGAGAGUCACUGUUCCCUCUUUUUUUCAUUUUCACCCAAUAAAACCCUGCUUUACUCACCCUUCAAAUUGUCUGCAAGCCUAAAUUUUUGUGGCUGUGGGACAAGGACCCUGUUUUUAGCUGAACUAAGGAAAAGUCCUGCAACAAUGAUAUUUAAUUUUUUUCCUUUUUCAUUUAAUCCCUGCUUCAGCUUUAUGAUAUAAGGGAUUUAUAAUCCCUGAUUCAGCCUUAUGAUUAAUUUCCCAUCCAGCAAAGCAUUCACUCCAAAGCAGCAACGUGGGCUUCUGUUAUUGGAUCUAAGUUAUGAAGAAAAACUGGAAAUGUGAAUUUUUUUUUUAGUAUUAUACUUUAAGUUUUAGGGUACAUGUGCACAAUGUGCAGGUUAGUUACAUAUGUAUACAUGUGCCAUGCUGGUGUGCUGCACCCAUUAACUCAUCAUUUAGCAUUAGGUAUAUCUCCUAAUGCUAUCCCUCCCCCCUACCCUCACCCCACAACAGUCCCCAGAGUGUGAUGUUCCCCUUCCUGUGUCCAUGUGUUCUCAUUGUUCAAUUCCCAUCUAUGAAUGAGAACAUGUGGUGUUUGGUUUUUUGUCCUUGCGAUAGUUUACUGAGAAUGAUGAUUUCCAAUUUCAUCCAUGUCCCUACAAAGGACAUGAACUCAUCAUUUUUUAUGGCUGCAUAGUAUUCCAUGGUGUAUAUGUGCCACAUUUUCUUAAUCCAGUCUAUCAUUGUUGGACAUUUGGGUUGGUUCCAAGUCUUUGCUCUUGUGAAUAGUGCCGCAAUAAACAUACGUGUGCAUGUGUCUUUAUAGCAGCAUGAUUUAUAGUCCUUUGGGUAUAUACCCAGUCAUGGGAUGGCUGGGUCAAAUGGUAUUUCUAGUUCUAGAUCCCUGAGGAAUCGCCACACUGACUUCCACAAUGGUUGAACUAGUUUACAGUCCCACCAACAGUGUAAAAGUGUUCCUAUUUCUCCACAUCCUCUCCAGCACCUGUUGUUUCCUGACUUUUAAUGAUUGCCAUUCUAACUGGUGUAAGAUGGUAUCUCAUUGUGGUUUUGAUUUGCAUUUCUCUGAUGGCCAGUGAUGAUGAGCAUCUUUUCAUGUGUCUUUUGGCUGCAUAAAUGUCUUCUUUUGAGAAGUGUCUGUUCAUAUCCUUCACCCACUUUUUGAUGGGGUUGUUUGUUUUUUUCUUGUAAAUUUGUUUGAGUUCAUUGUAGAUUCUGGAUAGCCCUUUGUCAGAUGAGUAGGUUGCGAAAAUUUUCUCCCAUUCUAUAGGUUGCCUGUUCACUCUGAUGGUAGUUUCUUUUGCUGUGCAGAAGCUCUUUAGUUUAAUUAGAUCGCAUUUGUCAAUUUUGGCUUUUGUUGCCAUUGUUUUUGGUGUUUUAGACAUGAAGUCCUUGCCCAUGCCUAUGUCCUGAAUGGUAAUGCCUAGGUUUUCUUCUAGGGUUUUUAUGGUUUUAGGUCUAAUGUUUAAGUCUUUAAUCCAUCUUGAAUUAAUUUUUGUACAAGGUGUAAGGAAGGGAUCCAGUUUCAGCUUUCUACAUAUGGCUAGCCAGUUUUCCCAGCACCAUUUAUUAAAUAGGGAAUCCUUUCCCCAUCUCACCACUCCUAUUCAACAUAGUGUUGGAAGUUCUGGCCAGGGCAAUUAGGCAGGAGAAGGAAAACUACAAAGAGAAGUUCUGGCCAGGGCAAUUAGGGAGGAGAAGGAAAACUACAAAGAGAAGUUCUGGCCAGGGCAAUUAGGCAGGAGAAGGAAACUACAAACUGCUCAAUGAAAUAAAAGAGGAUACAAACAAAUGGAAGAACAUUCCAUGCUCAUGGGUGGGAAGAAUCAAUAUCGUGAAAAUGGCCAUACUGCCCAAGGUAAUUUACAGAUUCAAUGCCCCAUCAAGCUACCAAUGACUUUCUUCACAGAAUUGGAAAAAACUACUUUAAAGUUCAUAUGGAACCAAAAAAGAGCCCGCAUCGUCAAGUCAAUCCUAAGCCAAAGGAACAAAGCUGGAGGCAUCAUGCUACCUGACUUCAAACUAUACUACAAGGCUACAGUAACCAAAACAGCAUGGUACUGGUACUAAAACAGAGAUAUAGAUCAAUGGAACAGAACAGAGCCCUCAGAAAUAACGCCGCAUAUCUACAACUAUCUGAUCUUUGACAAACUUGGGAAAUGUGAAUUUUUAAUGUAAGUUUCCAAUUUUUCUAUUAUUAUUAAUUGGCUUGAUUUUUUUUCUUUUUCUUUUUUUUUAAUUUAUUUUUUAAAAAUAAAAGGAAGUGGCUGGGGACCCCGGUUGGGAGGCCCUGCCCAGUGAGGAGAAAUGGAAUCCAGAACCACUUUAAAAAGCAGUCUGCUCAAAUUUUGGGAGAGCACCUGUGCUGUGCUGGGUCCACUUCAGCCCCUGAUUGUCUCAUACACUCCAAAGCCAAAAGGCUGGCACAACUGAGUUACCCAAACUGCAAAGAUGGCAGCCAACUCUUCCCUCUGGGAGCUUGUCCCAGGGGAUUUCAGAUCUCUGUCGGCUGGGUAGCUCAGGCAGAGGUCCCGGUUUGGAGGUCCUGCCCAGUGAAAAGGAAAGAGAUCAGGCACCUGCUUAAAGUCAAGUUUUGGUUGAGCAGCUAUGCUAUACUGGGGGAUCCUUUCCACCCUGGGUUGGCUUAGACUCUCCAAAGCCUGAAGGCUAGAACAGCUAAGGAACCCAAACAGCAAAUAUGGUAGCCGAGACUUCCCGCUCUGGGAGCUCCUUCUUAGGAAGAUGCAAUGCCACUACUGGUAGCUGGCUGGAAUUCUACGCCAGUGGGUCUUCCCUGGUGAGGAGUCAUGGAAGUGGGGCCCGCAGGCUGUUGCUGCUCAGUUCCUUUAAUUCAGCCUCUUUCCGAGUGUUAUGUAUGGGAGUAUAACCUCUCACUUUGCUGGAGCUGCAGCUGCUUUUGCUGGAAAGCCCGAAUAUCUAAGUCUCCAGGGUCUCUAUGCAUGCCCGAGGGGCUGCUCUGCCGAGACUCCACAUAGCUGUCUGUCAGACUGAAGAUUGAAGGCCCUGGAGGAGUGGGUUCACAAGGAGAUCUCCUGACCUAAGGGUUGCCAAGUUCUGUUGGAGAAGCAUUGUUUCCUGGGGUUGCUCAUUCACUCAUCACUUCCCUGGGCAGGGGAGAAUCCCCUAGCUGCUUGUUGCUCCCGGGUGGGCAGUUGUUCUGUCUUUGCUUUUCUUCAUUCUCUGUGGGUCAAGUUGUUUCCUUGAUUAAUCCCAAUGUGAGUACCUUGAUGUUUCUGUUGAAGUUACUGUAUUUACUUGUCUCUUCUGCUCCUCUUUGUGAGCGCCAUGCAUACUUGCUGCUUCUAGUUGGCCAUCUUGGCCAUUCCUUGAGAUUCACUUUGUAAACUCUUUUAAAUAUUUUGGGAACUUCUUAUUAAAGAACCUAAAAUCAAUGAGGUCAAAGUUGAGCCUUGAGAUGAGAGACUAACCUCAGAUUUUCUUCUGAAGCUUUCUGCUAGACUCCUUUCUUUUUCUCCAGCAAGCACAGCAUGAUGUCCACUGUUUGAGGAAGCCAGGAUUUUUCUAUUUUGUUGUUCCACUGUGUAGGAGGUAUCUAGUUCCAAGGAUACCUCAUGGCUCAAGACAGUUUUGACUCCAUUUUUAAUCCAGCCUGUGAGCAAGCAUCUUAUUUCCCCAAGUCUAAUAAAUCAGACAAAAUUAUUGACUCUUUCAAUCCUCUACUGACAAAAAUAUUUACUAUCCCAAGUACUCCUGUCUAUCUCUAUCCUACAUAAAUUCUGACAAAUCAUAUUGUGCAUAUAAACGUAAUUCACAGUUAGAGAUCUAUUUUCUUGUAAUGUAAUUUGGUCUAAAACAUAGGAUGAUGACACGUCCUGUAUGAAUCAAUUUUGUCUCAUCAUGCAAGCAGCACGAUAACCAUAUACUCAAAUACCCGGAGCUAAGUGUAUGUGUGCAUGGUGCACGAUAAUAAGUGAGUGGGGUCUUAAGGGAAAAUGGACCCUGAUAACAAAAAUAAUGGGCCCAAGGUACCUGGUCUCAUACGCUGAUCUCAUCAAUCUCUGACAUUAUCAUAACUAGAUAUGUCUGGGUGAAGUAUUUAGUGAAGGAGAAGGGACUUAAAAUAUGCACAGCCUUCUGAGAAAAUUAUUUUAAUUUUGGAGCGCUUUACACGACAAAGCCUUGGAACAAAGUUCUUUUUGAUCUAUGUAUGAUAUGGAUCCCAAAGCAGAACAUUUCACACUUCAUUUAACUUUCACAAUUUAUCAUUCCCAAAUAAUACAUCUAACUGACAUGCUAUAAAAUAUUUUUGGAAGAAAAAUCUAAAGGUCUAUGGAUGAAUGAUUGAGGGAAUUGGAAGCCAGGUAAACCACACACCCGGAUCAUUUCGUGAGUAUUAGAGAUAAUUGUCAUGGUUCUGAGGCUAGGGCCUCAAGAUGGAAGAAGGAGAAUGGGGGAUGAAGAGAUCAGGCUGAUAAUGUGACUGUUGAAUGACAAAUUUGUUCAUCAUACAGAGUAUAAUAUCAUCCAUAUGUUAGCUUUUAAAUCAUGUCCUUUAUACAUUUUCAAAGAAAUAACUGCUGCCAGUUACAAAGGCUAUUGGUAGUCAUUUACAUUUAGUCAUAGCUCACCUGCUAGAGGCCUAACCCACAGCUGUAAAUAUAAUAUGAUAAUAUUAAAACCACAAUCACUGUUACUAUACAUGUAAAAUACUUAAAAAUAAUUGUAUAUCUGGCCUGCAUGACUUAGUGUUUUAAGACUUUUUUUAUUCAUAUAUAUAUCUUAGUAUUAAGGAGUUUUUUUAUCUUUAUAUUUUGUUUAUUCUAUGUUCAUAUUAAUAUAAAUAUUUAAAACUUAGUUUCUAUUAAUUUUUUCAUAGACAUAUGCCAUCUAUUUUUGUCAGCUUUUAAGAUCUAUGUCUAACAUUUAAAUAUUAAAUAGUUUUAUCUCCAUUUUAAAAAAAGCUAGUGUUGAAUUACACAUAGAGUUUUAGAAACUGUAUCUUCCUCAUGAAAGAACUUUUGUAGAAGUAACUUGUGUAUUAAGUACAUAGUAUUAAGUAGAAGAAUAAAGAUGAUGCCUGAUGUGCUCAGAGAUGCUCAACCUUUGACCCCCUAGUUCUUGGCCUCAGCAAAGAGUCCAGUGUUCAAACUGAAUGCAGAAACAACUAGACAACUAGACUUCGAAGGGUGAUGAAGCCUUGGCCAAAGGGCAUUUCAGAGGCUAUAGGUGAUGAGGAGGUGAGCAAAGGCUGAUGGACUUCUCUGACUUUUGUUGUGAUGAAAAUUCCAAGGAAUUUUUCAUCAUUGUUACUAUAGGUGGUUAAGAUUUUAAAGUGUCUGUUUUUAAUGUUUCUAACUUAAAUUAUAAAAAGGUAUGGAAAAUGUUUUCUUUCAUAUUUCUAAGCAGAAACAGGCUUUUAGAAAUACUCUGAGUUUAAAAAUGCAUAGGCAAACUCAUGGAUCAAGGUGUCCAAAGGAAAGUUAAAUUUUCUCAAUGAUUUUCUGAACUCUGGAUACUUUAUAUUUUUACUUAUUUUUUUUUUUGUUGGUAACCAACAUCAGCUCUUUUCUACCAAAAGCAGGUCUCUGUGAAGAAUAUUAGAACAGGGAUGACAACCUUGGAGUAACCACUGGCAUUCUCAAAUCAUAUUACUAAGCAUCCAAAAUAUAGUAUAUUCAUUACUCAAAGUCAGCUGCACAUAUGAAUGUGGUACUAUUCCUUACUCAGACUUUUACAUUGCAUUUACAAAUGUUGUCAAUCAGCUAAAGUAAGUUUUAUUUCUAGACAGAUGAAUAAAUAAAGGAAUUCAUUGCCAUUAAUUUGAAGAGUUAACCUAGUUAUGUAUGAGAUAGCUGUAUGCACUGUCAUUCUAAACAAUUUAAAAGAAAUUAGGGAACAGCUGACUGGGGAGCUUUAGAAGCUAGUGGGGAGAAAAAGAAUAAAAAACAAAGAAUAAAUAAUAGCCACAGGG